CAGUAGCCGCGGUAAUACGUAGGUGGCAAGCGUUGUCCGGAAUUAUUGGGCGUAAAGCGCGCGCAGGUGGUUUAAUAAGUCUGAUGUGAAAGCCCACGGCUCAACCGUGGAGGGUCAUUGGAAACUGUUAAACUUGAGUGCAGGAGAGAAAGGUGGAAUUCCUAGUGUAGCGGUGAAAUGCGUAGAGAUUAGGAGGAACACCAGUGGCGAAGGCGGCUUUUUGGCCUGUAACUGACACUGAGGCGCGAAAGCGCGGGGAGCAAACAGGAUUAGAUACCCGCGUAGUCCCUGUCUCUUAUAC
rnacentral:rRNA from 1 species